UAGAAGCCUUGCCCUUGUGAGUUUAUAAUGAGGACUGAAACCCAGAGAAUUGAACGCUUAAGCAAAAAAUGAUGGUAUGACACUGAAAUGCCAUACUGAAGUUCAACACAGCCUUUAGGUUGAUGCUGUCAGUUGUCAUUUCUCAUCAGGACAUAAAUGUGUGUUCAAGUGUCAACGAUCGCUGUUAUACCUCCAAGGCUAUUGGUUCCAAAACUGGCCAACCUGAGAAAGACCUCAAGACCACCCAAUCAAUUCUGCAGGCUUGUUCAACUCUUUGUCAGUGCUCCCUGUCAGUUUGCUCCGCCAUCUUGGCUUUCAACAGAUGCAUUGCACCAGGUGUCUCCGCCAUGUUGGUUCUACGGGGGUACGUGAGACCAAUGUUCUUCACCAUCAGGACUCUCACUGGAUACUUUGAAGAGGCACUUGCCUUCAGUUGGGACUUGAUUCAUUGCUUCAAGGAAGUGCUCUUCUCUCAGCAGUUCCUCCUAAAGAAAACACUCCUGUUUCUGUCCCAGUUGGCUCUUUGCAUCUUUACCUGACCACUUUGUCUUGAAUGAAUAUCGUUUUAAUGACUUUUUCUCCAGUAAAGUAACUUGAGUAAUGCUUUUCUUAUAACAUCCUUAAGGAACUGUGCAUCCUAGGACAAUUGCUUCAACUUCCCUUCAAGUGUUUAUUGUAUUUUCAACUGGCAAUAACUAUUAAAAUGUUUCCUUAACUCUUAGUUAAAUCAUUGUCCAACUACAUAUUUGGAAAUCUUGGCAAGUUACAGUAUCUGUCAUAAUGGCAAUUUUAUGGAUGAGAUAGGGACAUUGAUCCAUAAGCAUUAUUGAGUACUUAAUCCUACUGUACACUGUCAAAACCCAUUUUAAAAAGACAGUGAAAGUAGAGUACUAGACACUAUUGUAACCGUCAUAAAUAGUGCCCCACAAGUUUCCAACAGAUGUUCCAGGGGCUGAGUGUUAGUGCAGUGGCCUUGUCCAUACUUUGAGUCUGAGCCUGUCAAAGGCCUGCAUUUUUCAGAGUUACUAAAGCACCUCCAGUGUAAAACUUGGUCUUUGCUAGGAUCUUUCAACGUAGGCAGAUACAAAGGGCUCAGUAAAUGUAAUACAAUGAUAACACAGUUGCAAAGACAGGUAACUCUUUACUUGGGGAAACCCCCUUUUCAGGUAAUUAAGGCCUGAUUGCAAGAUCUUUAGGUGAAAUACAAAUAAGCAAAGAACCUGUCUCGUUUUGUCAGUGACCCUUUUGCAUUCAAACCAGCAUACCACUUUACUCCUUGGCUUAUAACGACACAUUUGGGAGAGCCCACAGCUGACAUGUUAGGUUAUAAAACAGCUACAUAGUCAAACAGGCGUACUGCAUUGCUCUGUAGGUGUCUUGUAGGCAGAGCACUUACAAACCCCUAUCAACAGCAUCUCUAACACCACACCUUUGUUUACUCAAAGCAAAAUGAACAUAGCAUGGUGUUUUGUUGAUAGCAUAACCCACAGUACAGAGACCUCUUGAACAUAAGUUGCUGUAUACAAAAACAUUAAAUUUUAAAGAAAACCAUGGUCCCAAUAUUGCAAUCAAAUUGGUAUGGUGGCAGGGCAUGGGUCGACAAAACCUUGGUGCAGAUUACGCUCAUCAGCAACUCCAUUUCUCUUGUAAAAAGAGUUGAGUUAUUGUAAAACAGAGACCCAAACUGAGCCCGGGUAACAAAGCAACAAAAAAAAAAAUGGGCCAACAAGAACAGAAGAGUUGAAUAUUGCUAAACUGUCAUCAAGUCACAAUGCUAGUAACAUAUGCCUACAGAGUAAUAAAUGUUGCUGGACGCAUGAUUAUGCCAGGACAGUCAAUUAUUCAGACGACCAACUUGGUUUAAGCAAGAGUUUAACCCUCCUGUCUGUCAAAACACAAUGAGUGAAUUAUUGUCAAGUUGCUUUUGUAACCUAACCAAUGAUUCAAAACAAAUAGGUGCACAGUAUUGAACACAAGCAAGUCUGUAGCAAGUUUCAUAUUGCCCUUAACACCUUCAAAACUUGCAUAGGAGACAAAUUCUAUUGAUUUGUCAUGGUAUUUUUGAGUAUAACAAUGGAGAGUUCUCAAUAGUCUCUGGAACAGGUCAGUAGACUAAAGCAUGACUUAUGACACCUUCUAGGAAGCACUUCAGAUGUAGUCAGGCCUAUAGCUCAAACAUUUAAAGCACCCAUGCUUUAAAUCAAUCACUGAUUUAUUAGACAAUGUACUUAAUGAAAAUCACAUUUAUCAUUUACGUCCCUGAGCCUCCAUUGGCCCUUGAAAUGCUAAGUCUGAUCGAGUGGGCAUUUAUAUAUCUGAUUGGCUGGUCUAGAGCCCACCCCUUAAACAGUAAUUGCUCUAUUAUCAAUCAGAUCAUGAUGUGGGUAAAAGGUUCCAGCUCACCUACAAGCUGAAAUUCCAGGCAUUAUUUCCCAAAAAGGGUGUUUUCAUUUUCACAAUGUGUCAUUUCUACCUGUGUUAAAAAACAUUUAAAAAAAGAAGGAUAUGUGACUUAACUGCACUGCCCCUUUAAUAAUUUACUCAACACACACAAGCGUAACAGAAACAUUUCAAACGACAGAUGUUUCGAGCUGCCAAAGAAAACAGAUCAGACCAAAUUAUUGCACCAAUGAAACACCAAAAUAACCAGUAACUUCAGUAAGAUUUUCAUGUGCAGACUCUUGACAACAGCUGAAUUAAAUGUAAAA